CCUACGGGGGGCAGCAGUGAGGAAUAUUGGUCAAUGGGCGCGAGCCUGAACCAGCCAAGUAGCGUGAAGGAUGAAUGCCCUACGGGUUGUAAACUUCUUUUAUAAAGGAAUAAAGUGAGGCACGUGUGCGUUUUUGGAUGUACGUUAUGAAAAAGGAUCGGCUAACUCCGUGCCAGCAGCCGCGGUAAUACGGAGGAUCCGAGCGUUAUCCGGAUUUAUUGGGUUUAAAGGGAGCGUAGAGGGGUUGUUAAGUCCGUUGUGAAAGUUUGCGGCUCACCCGUAGAAUUGCAUUUGAUACUGGCAGUCUUGAGUACAGUUGAGGUCGGCGGAAUUCGUGUUGUCGCGGUGACAUGCUUAGAUAUCACG
rnacentral:rRNA from 1 species